rnacentral:lncRNA from 1 species
CAAGUUGAACAGUCAAUUUUGGACAGCAGAUCUCAACUUUUUAUCCCCUUAGCACUCAUCAAUCAAAAUUUGACACAUCUAUGUAUAUAUAAAAGAAGAUGAGAACAACACAUCUAUACUCCUAAAAGGAUAAGGUAAUAGAUUGGAAGUUUACAUAACAAUAAAGGAGCUAUGUUGAUGUCAAGUCUUCACACAGAAAUUGAAGCCAGUAACCAAACUGCAGACAUAUAAAUUACAGACACAAUUACAGAGAUAAUAGCCAGUAAACACCACACCAGACAAAUCCAGUAAAUGAAUUUGUCCAAUUUAAGGCUGUCUUAUUAUAUUUUGUUUAGUACACACAACACACAACAUCAUCCAUAGCUACUUUGAAGGGCUUAAACCAUAUUCUGUCAUCAACAGUUGCAUGGGUCACAUGUGCAGUUUGAUCCACAAUUGCAGGCAUGGCCUCCUUCAGCACUGGAGCUUUUCUCAGAUCCGUCGGACUGCCUGCAACGGUUCCGUAAAAUUAAGAAAUGAAAAUAUACGUCAACAAGUGGAAAUAACUCUGGUUGAAUUAGUUUAUGGAGACUGAAAAGGCUCUUGAUGCACCAAGAAGCGAAAAACUCGAUGAAUACCAUUAAUGAAUACUAGUUGAUUCAAACGAAUACUUGGAAUUUAUUAAAAUUAAGUUCGAGUGGAUUAUAAGCAAAUUCAAAGAAAUUGAUUUGAUCAACAAAUCGCUUUGCCCUUAUAUUAAAGAUUUAAAUCAAAGCCUUAUAUUUGAUUGAGAUUAAAAUUAGAUUUUUAGCAGAUUUUGAUAAAAUUUGAUGAAAUACGUAGUUGAAAAGUCGUAGAUCCACAAAAUAUGUGAUUAAAAUUAAUAGUUGACUUUAACUUAAAUUAAAAUUUGAAUUUUAAUUUUUACUAAACAAGGGCUAUAUCUCUAUAUUUUCUGUAUUAUGAAAAUAAAAAAAAAAAAAAUAAUAAUAAUAAUAAAGUAGUGUAUUAAUAGGAAAACCUUUAGCUAAAUAUAAUCUCUUGAUUGCACCUACCUAAAAUAUUAUUUAAAGUGCACAAAUUAAUAGAAGUAUCGUAAUAAAACUAUUCAUGGACAUCGACUAUCAACUGCUUCAACUCCCAUUUAAAAGAGCGAAGAUAAAAACUAACAAGGCCUAUUAUAAGGAUUAUAAGUUUUUCGAUCUCUUAAUAGAUGUAAUAAUGAAUAGAUCAAAGAAUUCAAAAAGAAAUUAUUUAAUCGACCCCUUUGAUUAGACUUACAUCUUCUUUGGAGCGAUCCCUUCGAUGAUGGUAACUGUCGUGCUCUUCUCGACGUCCGGGUACAUAUUGCCGCAACUUUCAAUACCAAAAAAGUAACUUAUAAGUAAAUCAACAUAAAAUUCUUUAUAUAGUUGGAAUAUUAAAUCGAAAAUAUGUUUACCCGCAGUCGCUUCCGCAGGAGCAGCUCGAGCCACAAUUACAGCCGGAUGACAUAUUCUUCAGAUGUGAAAAAGGAAAAAUUAUGUGGAGAGAUUUUAUCAAUUGAAAUGAAUUCUUUGCAGUGCGUGCUCUCAAGUAGGUGUUUCUUGAUAGACUUGUUGGUUCCUAUUUAUAAUAUAAAUAUAGUGCAGUUAUGACAUGUUUGGCGUAGAGAUUCGAUGCGAUUAAGAAAAAAAUUAAUUUUUUUUGUGUCCUAAUUAUAUGUAUUUGAUUUUGACAAAUUUAAAAUAGACGAAACGGAUGAUUCCCUGAAUUUUUAAUGGUUAAGAUCAUUGUUGGACAAGGUCUUCAAGAAAAGUUUCAGCGAAAGUCCUCGAUCUAUUGUAGUUAUAUCAAGCAGACGUUCAACCUUUAAUUCUUGACAAUUAAACCCUUAUUUGAGCCCCAUUCUCUAAAAACUCAAUUUUCCUCAAACGUAUUUUCAACUACACAUUCUCACAAUAAAAUAAUUUUGCACGUAAACUCAUAUUUUUCUCACUUUUAACUUCACAUUUUUUCAAAAAAUCAUUAUUACAAAAUUCAUUUUUCACAAAAAGUUAGGCUCAAACAAAGCUUAAAUUAUCAACAUUUAUUAUUUUUGUAGAGCCUGGCCUUGGUGGACGGAAUCCCUUGCCAAUUUUAUAUUUGAUGAGGUAACAACCGCCACAGUCGACUUCGACUGUAUGCAUCGACAUGAUCUCUUACUAUGCACUCUCCACCUCAAGAUGAGCACCUCGAGCCUUAUGACGGAAAAGCUCACCCAAGUUAACACGCGGUGGCGUGUUAGGAUCAUCGCCAAAAACUAAAGAUUGACGAUCUAUUUAUAUAACAUUAAUAUUGGAGAUGUCUACUGCAAUUUUUCUUUUAAUGAGUGUUGGAAAAAGGCAAAGGUGUCGAGCUUGCUUCUCCAAAUAUUUUGACAUUAAAUCCCUAUCAGAGUCACUUUCGUAAGCAUAUAAUUAGCAUUAUCUUAUUACCUAUCCUCCAAAAUUGAAAUUAUCGCAGCCGAUGCUUACAAGAAUCAUCAACCUUUGGUAAAUAAUUAUGUACUUGGAUUAAAAUGUAGAUUUUGAUUUAAAUUAAAAUCAACAAUUAAUUUUAAUUACGUAUUUUAUUAGGUUCACAACUUUUCAACUUUUAUCAAAAUUUAAUGAAAAAUUUGAUUUCAAUAUCAAGCAAAAACUAUACAUGAAAGUGACAAGUAAUUUAUAAUUAAAAAAAAAAAUUGGAGGUCACUAAUUCAUUUCAACUAAGUUGAUCGAUCUAACUUUCUGUUUGUCAAAUAGAUUAAGACAAAUUUAUUCCUUGAAAUAAAAUUAUGAAACUCAAUGGUACGCGUGACAGUGACAAAUUCGAUAGCCCUUAACUUUUUUUAAUUAAAAAAAAAAAAAGUUCGAAGAUAUCAUUCCACUUGAAAUAUAUUGAACUUUAGUAAACCAAUAUAUAAUAGUAUGUGUUAACCUCGAAAAUUGGUCCUUCCACGUGGCCAAUCGAGAGCUACUCCACGUAUUCCUCCCUGCACACAAUCAGCAAAUGGUCAGACGUACACGGUUGGGAUCAGUGAGGGUGGUGGCGGCCGUAUACACUCCGACGGUCAAGUCAGGUUUAAGUGGUCGGAACAGUACUCAGGGGCUGUGCAAAUCAAUGAUAAAGGGGGAGAAGAAAAUAUAUAAGCUUGCUAUGGAAUGCUAUGUAGUAAGAGUUUCAUUACCUUUGUCUCUUGCCAAACCUUGGGUAUUUAUAGGUGGUAUGAGCCGUUGGAUGUGGGACGCGUGUAUACAUCUGACGGUAUGAGGCGUCCGCCAAUAGGCGUCAAUCAGCCACGUCUGUAGAGUGGGCGGACAGCUUGUUUCUUCUGAGUCGAAUUGACAUAAAGUUAAUAAGUCACAUCAACUAACCUCAUGAAGACGUCAAAUCAAUUUACACCUUAGGUGCAGGAAAGAUCUUGGCACAAAUCUCUUUCUGAAAUUGGCGGCGAAUCUUCUAACUGGGAUCCACUUGGCCUCGGCCUCGGGCGAGGUGCUUUUGGUCAGGUCAGUAUUACUAGGUUGCAGGCAUUGCCGAUAUCACUUCAGAAACACUUCGAAAGGGUCUUUAUCAGGUUGGAAUAUAUGGUGAUGAGCGUUCCGAGGCGUAUCAGAUCGGAGCGUAACAAUGGUCCCCUAAGUCCAGAUAUGAAUAUUUAUAUCAUGGGUGGACUUGCUUUCCUGACCCGACCGUGACUUGUGGGAGCUUGGUGUUGAUCUUUUGCAGUAAUCGAGAUUAUGAUCCUAGGCAGAUGUGCCAAAGUUUCGUUACUAUGCACAGCGUCCGAGACGAUAAACCCACAUAGGACUUCGCGUCAAGUGCGUCGAAGCUUCGUAAAUAUGGUACGCUGGCCCAUAGGGCCGACGCGCUGGAAGAUGGAUAAAACUUUGUAAAGCAUGGGAGGGAACGCAGCAUCCGAGGCGAGGACCCACAGGGGGCUUCGCGUCAGGUGCGUCCAAGCUUUGUAAAGUUGAGUGAGGAGCUCAUCUGCCACCGGUGCCCUGACCCACAGGGCCGACGCGUUGGGAGAUGGCGAAAACUUUGUAAAACAUGGGAGGAAACGCAGCAUCCGAGGCGAGGACCUACAGAGGCUUCGUGUCAGUGUGUCCAAACUUUGUAAAGUUGAGUGAGGAGCUCAUCUGCCAUCGGUGCGUUGACCCACAGGACCGACACGUUGGGAGAUGGCUAAAACUUUGUAAAGUAUGGGAGGAAAUGCAGCAUCCGAAGCGAGGACCCAUAGGGGACUUUGUGUCAGGUGCAUCCAAGUUUUGUAAAGUUGAGUGAGGAGCUCAUCUGCCACCGGUGCCCUGACCCACAGGGCCAACGCGUUGGGAGAUGGCUAAAACUUUGUAAAGUAUGGGAGGGAACGUAGCAUUCGAGGCGAGGACCCACAGGGGCUUCGCGUCAGGUGCGUCCAAACUUUGUAAAGUUGAGUGAGGAGCUCAUUUGCCACCGGUGCGCUGACCCACAGGGCUGACGCGUUGGGAGAUGACCAAAACUUUGUAAAGCAUGGGAGGGAACACAGCAUCCGAGGCGAGGACCCACAGGGGGCUUCGCAUCAGGUGCGUCCAAGCUUUGUAUAGUUGAGUGAGGAGCUCAUCUGCCACCGGUGCCCUGACCCACAGGGCCGACGCGUUGGGAGAUAGCUAAAACUUUGUAAAGUAUGGGAGGGAACGCAAUAUCGGAGGCGAGGACCCACAGGGGGUUUUGCGUCAGGUGCGUCCAAGCUUUGUAAAGUUGAGUGAGGAGCUCGUUUCGAGGCGAUUCAAACGUCAAAUGAUUUAACAACUGUUGCGUGUUUCCAAGGUGACAGUUGGGUGCCAGCCCAUUCUCCUAAAAGGCUGCUGCAGCUACCUAUUAUCAUUAUUGACGGCUGGUUGUAACCGAGGUGACGCGUUUUAAGCAAGCGUGAAAGUCACAGCGACAUCUUGGGCGUAGAUCAAAUCUGGUGUUUCAUUUCAACGGCCUAGAUUGAAGAUGCGAUGAACGGCUUAAAUUGAUCGCAUUUGAAUUCGAUGGUGGAGAUCGGAUUUGUCUUUCUAUAAAAGGAGGACUUUGAGGUUUUCUCAGGCUUUCUACCUUUGUGAAACAAACAUGUUACUUUGCUCUCAAAUCAUUUGGCGAUUUCUGGCAUUUUUUAAGCAAUUCCGACGAGAAAAUUGAACUUCCGGCGACCUUACACCAUUUCCAGCUAGGAAAACCUUCAAAAUCGUAAGUUUCAUACCUUUUAGGGCUUUUAAAUUUUGAAAGAAUGGCCUCGGAAGGAAGUUCUGGUUCGGGGAGGGGGUUAGAACUAGUGAGGAUGGACGAGCCCAUUGUGGUGACCUCCUCAGAAAUAGCUGGGGCAAUAAUAAGGGAAAAAAUAUAUGGAAGCGACCGGAUAGCCUAGCAGAUAUGUCUGUGCAUUGGGGGGCAUCGGACUACCCAUCUAAAUUAAGAGAGGCCGACCUGAGGAGACUUAGGACAGAGUAUAGGAUCCCUAAUAGCAUAGAUUUGAUCCUCCCCGGGUCGAAAGAGAGAGCCUGCUACCCUAGGCCCGGCUGUGUGGCCAUUAGCGAGGCGAUACUUGGGGUCGGACUUAGGCUGCCAGUUCACCCAUUCUUUAGGAUGGUGCUAGAUCCUAUGGGCUAGCCCCGACACAACUCAAUCCGAACUCCUGGAGCCAAAUGGUGGGCUCCUGGAUGUUGUAAAAAGAGGCAUUAUUAGGGGUGGAGAUGCCUCUCUCCAUCUUCCAGACCCUUUAUAUACCUAAGGUUACUGCCGAGGGGGGGGAUAAGACCUGGGGAUGGUAUUACCUUAUUUCACGGGGUUCCUACACUCCAUUCGUGCUCGAUCUGCCGCGCUUCAUUAAAGAAUGGAAGAACUCGUGGUGCUAGGCCGCAAGGCAAUGGGACACGAUAGAGGGGGACCCCCUGGCGCCUCUUACGGUCCCGACAAAGUAUUCAACACUUAGUGAGUAUAAUAGUUGUUUUUCCUUAUAUUUCUCUUCGGUUUGAAUUGUGCCUAACAUUUACAUUUCCUUUGUAGGUACUCUUCCUCGGUGAGAGCUGUCAUCUGAGGACUUUGAAACCAUCUGCAUCAUUUAUCAGCUGCCUCAAAAGAAGAGGUCUUACCAUAGGCUGAUCCGAAAGAACAUCCAUUUCAUUACUCACGAUCUGAUGGCAUCCCAAGGUAACUGGGCCGAAGUCUUUGCUUUUUAUUCCGAACUCUUAAGACUUGUACUAAUUCCUUAUUCGCUCUUUGCAAACAACUUUAAUAAGAAGAUGCCGGUGCACCCUGACUUUAAGACAUCUAGAAGAUGAUGGCAGAGGCACGGGCGUUGAAGGCCUCCUCCUCCUCGUACAAAAAGAAAAUGGAGGAUUUGGUGGAAGCCAGUAAGAGGCUUCAGCCUCCGACGGAUGAGGAGGUACCGGAGGACUCGGAGGAAGGGCAAGAAGAGUACCAUCCCUCCAAAACACCCAACUGUGGCAAGGCCACCCCCUGCUCUGAGGCAGACCAUAAUUCCCACCGGGGUGGCCAUUCCGGAGAAGAGACCCACCCCAACUGAGCCUGCCAUUGCCCCAGCCACAACACCCCUCGCUGCAGUGCCAAUUGAUCAAGUGCCAGGGCAGCAGAAGAGGAAGAGGCCCCCAUCUCUCUAAGGAGGUCGACUUUCUGGGCACCAAUCCCGAAGAGCCAGUAAGAGAAGUGUUGGAGGCUCUUCCUCCAGAAACAGCUGCGGUGGCGGUGGUCCACAGCAAAUACUAGACAAAGGAAUGGAGGGACCACACCGCCUCCUGCACGGCUGAGGAUUUGGUGGCUACGAAUAGCGCCUGCGUGGCUCGGGCCCUGAGCACAAGCAUCCAACUUGAGGGCUUGGUGUAGGAUCUGAAUUCUAAGAGGGAGGACCUCGCUAAGCGCUUUGAGGAGGCGAUGCACUAUGGGGAUACCGUGCAAGCGGCCCAGGCCAAGGCCACGCAGGCGGAGGAGGGGAAGAAGGAAGCUGAGGCCCAGCUAACUGCCGCCAAAGUAGAAGUGGAACGGCUGAAAAAGGAGUUGUACGAGGUGGAGUGCCAAGUGGUUGCUGUGACUCGGAGGCUUGAUCAUGCAAAUGAGCACCACAAGCUCGUCACCGAGGCUCUGGAGGCCUCCAACAAAGAGAAGGCGGAGCUGAGGCAGAAGGCAGAGGAUCAGUCAGAGGAGAUUGCCUCUUUGAGGGAGGAGUUGAAGUCUGCAGGGGAGGUGGCAGUCCAGAACUUCAUCAACCACUUUGAAGACCAUCCCCUGUAUGACGACUUCGCCAAUUUCUGGGCCUCAUGGAGUGCCCAAAGCUUAUUGGGUCGACUGAAAGAGGUGUACCCCACUUUGGACAUCUCUUCAUUGGAGGCAGAGUUCGGGGGGCCAACUGGAGGUCGGCCUGAUAGGCUUGGCGAGGAGGCUCCGGAGGCGGCUAAUGUAAAAGUCCCUCCAACAGAGUAGGGUUACCUUUUGUAAUGGCUUCGGCCUCCUUGUACUUAAAUUUAUCCAAUGAAAUGAAAUUUUUGCUAAAUAUUUGCGCUUCUGCUUUUUUAUCUUUUCUAUCUGUUCAUACUUGUAUGAAUGACAAGCGGCAGACUAAUUGCCUCGUGACAAUAACCAAUUAAUAACUGCGGACCGGACCACUCAAGUUAUUAUAAGUUUAAUCACUUAAGCGAGUAUAAAGCGACUCUUAAUGCUAACCUGUUAACAAUUUGAGAUCGGACCACUUAAGUUAAUAUGAAGCGGACCACUUAAGUAAACAUGAAGAGCCCCUUAACGUUAAUCAGCUAAUAAUUGAAGAUCGGAUCGCUUAAAUGAACCUACUGAAGGAUUGAGGAAACUAUUUACUAACUGAUGUGACUCGAAACCGAAGCUUCAUUACUUAAGAUAAAUUACACCACCCUUUACUAAGGCAAUUCCAGCACUUAGGGAAUUUUAAAACUGAGAUCAGAUCAGAACAAUCGAUUCAUUAUAACAUACUGAGAUCGGAUCGGAACAAAGUCUCAUCAUUGAUAGUACUUCCUCAAGUGUUCGAUGUUCCACUGAUGAGGCAGCGCCUUUCCUGCCAUAUCUUCGAUUUCGAAGGUACCAGGUCUGGAUUCCCUGCGGAUGCGGUAAAGGCCUUCCCAGUUCGGCCCAAACACUCCGACCCGGUUAGUUUUGAAGAUUGGAAGACUCUUUUGAGGAUGAGGUCGCCCAGACGAAGAGUUCUAUUUUUGACCUUGGAGUUGUAAUAGCGGGUCAUCUUUUGAUGAUAUUUUGUCAAGUUCACUUAGGAGGUAUUUCUCAUUUUCUCAAGGACGUGUAGUUCGCUUAUUCGAGCCUCGUCGUUGCUGAUCUCAUUGAAAUGUAUCCAUCGAUGUGAUGGGACCCCGACUUCGACCGGAUUCAUGGCCUCGGUUCAUAGGUCAUGGAAAAUGGGAUUUCACUGGUUACAGUCCGGCAAGAAGUCCUGAUAGCCCAGAGGACGUGGGGGAGUUCAUCAACCCAGGCCCCCUUUGAGGUAUCAAGUUUCCUUUUCAGGGUGUGUUUGAUAGUCUUGUUCACUUCUUCAACUUGCCCAUUCGCUUGGGGGUGAUGAGCUAUCGAGAAUUCCUUCUUUAUGCCCAGCUCGUCGUAUAAGUCUCGCAUCUUCCUGUUAUCGAACUGCCUUCCAUUAUCAGACACUAAGGAGUGGGGAAUGCCGAAUUUACAAAUGAUAUUUUUCCAAACGAAUUUGGUAGUAUUAGCCUCGGUAAUUCUGGCAAGGGGUUUAGCCUCGACCCACUUAGUGAAUUAGUCAAUGGUGACAAUGGCGAAAGUUGCACUUCCUCUUCCUUUUGGGGAUAGACCAAUGAAGUCAAUGUCCCACUUGGCGAAUGGCCAAGGGCUGGUUACUACGGAAAGGCUCUGAGCAGGCUGUCUUUGUAUGUUCGAGAAGUACUGACACUUGUCACAUUUCUGGACAAACUGGCAAGCAUCCCUUUUCAGGGUCGGCCGGAAGUAGCCUUGAUGGAGAACCUUGUGUGCCAGAGCCGUUCCUUCGAAGUGAUUUUCGCAGAUUCCUUCAUGGAUUUCCUUGAGUAUGUAUGUGGCCUCUUCACCUCCUACGCAUCGAAGAAGCGGCGAGGCGAAGCCUCUCUUGUAAAGGGUAUCUUUUUGCAAGACGAAGUGUGCAUCCCUUCUUCUUAACUUCCUCGCCUCGCCUCUGAAAGCAGGCAGUGUUUGCUCCUUUAGGUAGGCGAUGAUGGUCUGCAUCCAUAAUGGGGUGCCUUCUAUCCACAGUAUCUCUUUACCUUUAGAGGUGGAGAGCUUUGAUAAGUGCUCAAUAAGGAGGACGUUUAGCAGCUCUGAGUCCAUGCUGCUGGCCAAUUUUGAGAGGGCGUCUGUAUGUGCAUUCUCUAGACGGGGGACUUGAGUCAGUUCGAACCUUUCAAAAUGAGGAAUUAUGUCCAGAACCAACUUCAAGUACGCAAUCAUGUUACCAUCUUUGGCUGCGAAGUUUCCAUUUACCUGAUUUACUAUAAGCUGAGAGUCACUGCUCACCAGGACCCUCCUGACCCGCAUCUCCUUAGCGAGUCUAAGACCUGCUAGAAGGGCCUCGUAUUCGACAACAUUGUUCGAGGCUUUGAAGCCGAACCUCACUACACAAUUUAGCUUGUGGCCUUCCGAGCUUUCCAAUACGAUCCCUGCUCCAGCGCCAACCUCUCCUGAGGACCCAUCCAUGAACAGUUUCCAUGUUGGGGGCUCGGCUGGUUCCAUUAUCGCCUCCAUUUCUAGGGCUUUGGCAAACUCAACCAUAAAAUCAGCAAGAGCCUGGCCCUUGAUGGCGUGUCGAGGUCGGAACGUUAGAUCGAACUCACUGAGCUCGAUUGCCCAUUUUAGCAGGCGUCCUGAUGCGUCUGUUUUCUGCAUCACCUGCUUUAGUGGAGAUUGGUGAGAACUUGUAUUGAGUGGGCUUGGAAGUAUGGCCUCAGCUUUCUUGAGGCUAUGAUAAGGGCGAGUGCCAGUUUUUCCAUGUCUGGGUAGCUUGUUUCAGUUGGGAAAAGUGCUUUGCUGAUGUAGUACACUGGCAAUUGGAGCUCAUUUUCUUCCCUGAUUAGGACUGCACUGACCGCCACGUCUGAAACCGCUAGAUACAAUAGCAGAGAUUCAUUCGGUUGAGGUUUUGACAAGAGGGGCGCCUCUCCAAGGUGCUUUUUCAGAGCCUCGAAGGCUUCUUCACACUCCGAAGUCCAUUGGAAUUUCUUUCUUUGCUUCAGCACAUUGAAGAAAGACAAGCUUUUAUCUGUGGCUCUGGAAAUGAAGCUACUGAGUGUGGCUAUCCAACCAUUGAGACCUUGGACCUCCUUCGGUUUCUGAGAUGACCUCAUUUCUAGCAAGGCCACGACUUUCACUGGAUUCGCCUCAAUUCCUCUCUGAUUUACAAUAUACCCCAAGAACUGACCCGAUACCACUCCAAAGAUGCACUUGAGGGGAUUCAAUUUCAUACUAUACUUUCUAAGUAUCUGAAAAGUUUGGUCGAGGUGACUCACGUGUUCGGCUGCCUGAAGGCUUUUGACCAGCAUGUCAUCCACGUAGAUCUCCAUGGUUUUGCCAAUGAGUUCAACAAACAUCAUGUUGACCAACCUUUGAUAUGUAGCUCCGGCAUUCUUAAAUCCGAAGGGCAUAACUUUGUAGCAAUACAGACCCCUAUCCGUAAUGAACGAUGUAGCUUCCUCAUCGGGUCAGAACAUGGGUAUCUGGUUAUAACCUGAGUAUGCAUCCAUGAAACUCAGUAGCUCAUGUCCAACAGUAGAAUCCACAAGUUGAUCUAUUCUUGGAAGUGGGAAGCUGUCUUUGUGGCACGCCUUAUUUAGGUUCGUGAAGUCCACGCAUACCCUCCACUUUCCGCUGGGCUUUUUCACUAGAACCGGGUUGGAUAUCCACCUUGGAUAGAUGACCUCUCUUAUGAAACCACUACGGCUAAGUUUGUUUACUUCGUCUUUCAGUGUCUCGUACCUCUCCGGAUUGAGGGCACGCCUCUUCUGUCUACGGGGGCAUAGGAGGGAUUGAUGUUAAGGUGAUGACAACUGAUCGUAGGAUCUAUUCCCACCAUAUCUUUAUGUUUCCAUACGAAGACAUCUAGGUUCCCUUUCAGGAAGCUUAUCAUCUCUACUUUUGCUUCAGGGGACAACGACUUUCCUAUACGCAAGACCUGACUAGGGUCUUCUGGGUUGACGGGGAAAAUCUCCAAUUCUUCCAUUGGGGUCGCAUUUGGUUCAGAGUCAAUUAUUCGGGGAUCUAACUCAUCAAGAGGGUAUCCUUGUUCAAGGACCUCUUCCAUGUCGACAUCUCCCUCUUGUUCAGAGGUAUGCCCUUGUUCAGGGGCGUCAAGCAUUUCCACGUCCGUACUGAUCUCAGCGGGUACCUCAGUUAGGAUUACAUUAAUAGUUUGGGGCUCGAACUUUCACAAUGAGUUUAAGUAGCAUGCCCUGGAGCCCAUCUGAUCGCCUCGGACCGUAGCAAUCCCAUGUUCGGUUGGAAAUUUCAUGCAAAAAUAGUGAAUGGACGUGACAGCCCAAAGAUCUUUCAGAGCGGAUCUGCCCAAUACUCCAUGAUAAGCCGAUCUGUGAUCUACCACCAAAAAUUCCAUGAAGUGCUGGGCCAUUAGGGGUUCCGAACCCAUUUCGACUGGCAGGGUGAUACACUCUCGUGGGAUUAUGCUGUCCUCAGUGAAUCCGAAUAAUGGGUCAAUCAUGGGGAUCAACCCAUGUUCUAUUUGUAUUUUGUCAAAAGUGGAGCCGAACAAUAUGUUCACGGAACUGUCAUUGUCAACGAGCAUGCGUUUUAAUCCGUUUCUAGCCACUAAGGCUCUUACAACGAAUGCAUCACAGUGGGGGUGGUGAACCCCCUUUGAGUCUUCCUAGGAGAAGGUGAUUGGGGCUAUCCUAACUGCUGCUUGUGAUUCGUUGACAAUGUAAGUGAUCAUUGGGAGGAUCAUUUGCUUCCCUUUUGUAAUUUCUUUGGGCAUUUUUGGUGUUGCCACCGACGUGGGGUCCCCCAAUGAUAGUAUCGAUUUCCCUAAUGACCUCGCUUCUAGAAAAUUAGGCUUGGUUUCUCUGUCUGGAUUGACCUCGAUCCCUUGAUUCUCUUUUCUGAGAAGAUUGUUCCCUGUGACCUCUCCCUCCCCUCCUCGAGGAGGCGGAUCUGCGAGAGUAUUCGUUCCUGCUGGAAGGGUGCGGGUUGCUUCGAUCAGGGCGUCAAUUGGUGUCACGGCACUCACUAGUGUCAUGUCCAUAGAGUUGAUGGAACGUACAAAAGCUUGCUCCUUACAAGGGUCUAUUUGACAUCUUCUUCUUCUUGUUAUCAGCUCUUCCAGAUGGUCUCGCUUCGGCAGGGGCAUUAUCAUAUGCCAACACCGGUAUUGCAUUCAAUGUGGCGGAAGCUAGGGCCUGUCUGGAUGUGGGAGCUAUUGUAUGACCUGCUUGGGUCCAUUGCUGAGUAACAAGGUGUGCUGCGGGUCCUCGACCUACCUGCCUCUGAGGAGUAGGGAGUCCCUGCGCGGCACGAUUGCGAUGAUCAAUCAUUUCUUCACUAACAAUUUUCACUCUCAUCAUUUCCACCAGCUCGUCAUAUGUGGAGGGAUUCUUGCUGUGCACGUCCCUUCAGAACAAAGUGUUCAUGUUGAGCCCACCCUUCAGGGCUGAAAGGACUUCUCUGUCAGUAACCUGUUCGCAGUAGGUGAUUUCGUCUGUAAACCUGGCGAGAUAGCUUUUCAGCGUCUCCCCAGGGGCCUGCCUCAUAUCUUGCAGGCGUUGCACUGGUGCCUCUCCUUCCCUACGUGAAAGGUACUGGUUCAAAAAUGCUUUCUUCAAAUCUGGCCAACUUCUGAUGCUUAGGGGAGGAAGCUUGCUGUACCAUACCUUGGCGGCCCCGCCUAGCGUUAAAUGGAAGGCUCUGCAUUUUAAAGCAGGCAAGGCUCCCUUUAGGCUCAUCUGUGUCAUGUACUUGGUGAGGUGCUUCUCCGGAUCCCCCUUUCUUUCAUACUUGGGGAUCUUAGAGGGCAUGAAAUUUGCUAGCAUUGGGAAACUUCGGAUCUCCCUUGAGAAAGGGAGGUUAUCAUCAUCAUCGUCAAUCUCAUAAGAUCGACAGGGCCCAUCUGACCCUUCAUCAUCUUGGAUGUUCUGGGGAGGUAGAGGUGCUUCUCCCUGACUUCCCCAAUCGACUAGGUUCCUUCUGUCUCUCCUAUUUCUAGAAGGAGGGGGGCAUGUUCUUGUUCGUGAUCUGGACGAACUGAUCCUCUUGUUGGGCGGACCCUAUUGCUAGGACCCUCCCCUAUCCGGUCAAAGAUGCUUACCGAUCUUUGGUCCUCAUGUUCUUGAGGAAAAUUGUCCCCCAAGCAUGGUUCUGAUGGCUGACUCCCUUGCACAUAAGAUGUGGCUUUGGCGUUCAUCUCCCUUUCGAGGGGACGUUCUGUGUGCCGGCUCAUGUGGCAUCGGGAGUGAGAUACAGGGGCUUCCCGUACCAAAUAAGAUCCUUGGGGCAUUUCAUAGCCCUGAUGACCCUGGGCUUGCAUGAGGAGUUCAUGCAUUGUCAUAUUCUGAGUUGCGAUGUCUCUCAUACCUGCAGCUAUCUGAGCCAUUCCUUCAGUGAGUAUGGCUAUUCUUCCACCUUGGCGACGCCAUGAUGUGGUCUCUGAUGAGUAACAUUGUUAUGGAGUACCUCUUCUUUAGAGGCCUCUCUCAUGGGGUUGUCCUCUUCAUGGCUAUAGCUCAUCCUACCUCCUUUUUCAAGGGUGGUGAGAACUUGGAUUGUAACCCGACUUUGUUUUUUUUUCAAGAAUGUCCCCUUUUCAAGGUUAGUCACUAGUUUUCUGGUAGCUUCUCCGAUAGAGAAUGCAAAACUUCGAAUGGGAAGUGUUUCGCACAGACGGCGCCAAUCUGUUGAUCUCGAAAAUUGGUCCUUCCACGUAGCCAACCAAGAGCUACUCCACGUAUUCCUCCCUGCGCAUAAUCAGCGAAUGGUCAGACGCACAUGGUCUGGACCAGUGAGGGUGGUGGCGGCCAUAUACACUCCGACGGUCAAGUUAGGUUUAAGUGGUUUAAACAGUACCCAAGGGCUGUGCAAAUCAAUGAUAAAGGGGAAGAGAAAAUAUAUAAGCUUGCUAUGGAGUGCUAUGUAGUAGGAGUUUCAUUACCUUUGCCUCUUGCCAAACCUUGGGUAUUUAUAGGUGGUAUGAGCCGUUGGAUAUAGGACGCGUGUAUAUAUCUGACGGUAUGAGGCGUCCGCUCAUAGGCGUCAAUCAGCCGCGUCUCUAGAGUGGGCAGGCAGCUUGUUUCUUCUGAGUUGAAUUGACAUAAAAUUGAUAAGUCACAUCAACUAGCCUCAUGGAGACGUCAAAUCAAUUUAAACCUUAGGUGCAGGAAAGAUCUUGGCACAAAUCUCUUUCUGAAAUUGGCGGCGGAUCUUCUAACUGGGGUCCACUUGGCCUUGGCCUCGAGCGAGGUGCUUUUGGUCAAGUUAGUAUUACUAGGUUGCAAGCAUUGCUGAUAUCACUUCAGAAACAGUUCGGAAGGGUCUCUAUCAGGUCGAAAUAUAUGGUGAUGAGCGUUCCGAGGCGUAUCAGAUCGGAGCGUAACAGUAUGUUUAGAUUAAUUUCUCAAUGCAAUCUAUAUAGAUACAUAUACGUUGACACGAUAUAAUAUAUACGAUGUUCAAACUAUCGUCUAUUAAGUCAUUAUUUUUGUUUAUCGAGUUAAUAAACUUGCAUGACAAUACUCAAUUGAAGUAAAAUAGUGAAUUUAAUGAUUCAAUCGUGACAAAAUGAAGCAUAAAUUCGAUGGCAUUAUUAUAUCAUUAUUUUUGUUUGUCAAGUAAAUAAAAUUGCAUAACAUGACUCAAUUAAAUAAAAUAAUGAAUAUAAUGAUUCAAUCGUGACAAAAUGAAGCAUAAAUUCGAUGGCCUUGCAUGUUAUUCUACUUCUAAAAAAUUGAGAUUAAAAAAAAAAUAUUUUUUUUAAAAAUAUAAUAGAUUAUUUAAAUUUGUUUAUCGAUCAAACCGAGUGUCGACUUUUUGGCUGAUUAUAAAUGACACCUACUUUGCCGCUGGAUUCAUUAUACCCUUUUUCGAAAAUUACAAGUUAAAGAUAAAAUCAAGCUGUUCGUAGCAAGUCUUAAAACUCCGGUAAAGGAAAAACGUUUCGAUAAAGUGACACUUAAGAUGUGUGUGAUUAUAAGUAUGGAAUUUGCAUCAAUUGUCUAGAACUUAUUUAAAUGAAAACUGUCAAUUAAACGUUUUUGAUUGCUUAUUUUUCAACUAAGAAAUUAUUUUGAGAAGUGUGAAUUGUCUAGAAAAUAAAAACCUAUCCAUCUACGAAAAAAUGUUUUCCUUAACUUCUGAGGAAAACAUUGUUAAAUGACCAACUUUUGAAAAAUAAUUAAAGUAAAAACAAAAUUUAGACUUGCAAGGUGGACUCGGCCCGGCCUUCAAUUAAAUUUAAAAGAAUAAAAAUAAUUUUUUUCAUGUUGAUAGACAAGAAUGCAUUGUAAUAAUUGUAUUGAAUUGGUUAAUCGUGACUUGCCUUUUGAUUUUAAUUAAUGUAUCGACUUUAGACUAAAUUUGAAUCACAAUCUUUAUUCUUAAACUACAAUGAUCACAAGUUGGAAAACAUUUUUUACACAUUUUCUCGUCAUGCUAGUUAAUCUUAGAUUAUAAGGAGUGAAUUCUACUAAACGCAAAAGUGAAUGAAACUGAAGAAUCUCACGUACUAUAAAGAUAAAAGUGAUUUUUAACCAACUUAUAAAUUUGAAAAAACAAUACUUCAAAAAACAAUAAUAAUAAUAAUAAUAAUAAUAAUAAUAAUAAUAAUAAUAAUAAUAAUAAUAAUAAUAAUAAUAAUAAUAAAUAAUAAAUGUACAAAAACAGUGUAGCCAUAAUUAAUACAGAUGCUGUGGCAGCAUCUCUGUCUGUCCUUUUUUUUGGUCAUUUUCCAAUAAAAAAUUGUCAAGUAUCAUUUAUAUUAAUUCUGACAACACAUUUUCACAUGUAGCAGAUCUCGUAAAAAAUCUAAAUUUAACUCAAUUUUUGACGCAAUAUGUCAAAAUUCGAUUGGCUAGACGGUCGAGAGGGCACGAAGAUGAGGACAACACAUCUGUACCUCUAAAAGGAUAAGGUAAUUGAUUGGAAGUUUACAUAACAAUAAAGGAGCUAUAUUGAUGUCAAGUCUUCACACAGAAAUUGAAGCCAGUAACCAAACUGCAGAUAUAUAAAUUACAGACACAAUUACAGAGAUAAUAUAGCCAGUAAACACUACACCAGACAAAUCCAGUAAAUGAAUUUGUCCAAUUUAAGGCUGUCUUAUUAUAUUUUGUUUAGUACACACAACACACAACAUCAUCCAUAGCUACUUUGAAGGGCUUAAACCAUAUUCUGUCAUCAACAGUUGCAUGGGUCACAUGUGCAGUUUGAUCCACAAUUGCAGGCAUGGCCUCCUUCAGCACUGGAGCUUUUCUCAGAUCCGUCGGACUGCCUGCAACGGUUCCGUAAAAUUAAGAAAUGAAAAUAUACGUCAACAAGUGGAAAUAACUCUGGUUGAAUUAGUUUAUGGAGACUGAAAAGGCUCUUGAUGCACCAAGAAGCGAAAAACUCGAUGAAUACCAUUAAUGAAUACUAGUUGAUUCAAACGAAUACUUGGAAUUUAUUAAAAUUAAGUUCGAGUGGAUUAUAAGCAAAUUCAAAGAAAUUGAUUUGAUCAACAAAUCGCUUUGCCCUUAUAUUAAAGAUUUAAAUCAAAGCCUUAUAUUUGAUUGAGAUUAAAAUUAGAUUUUUAGCAGAUUUUGAUAAAAUUUGAUGAAAUACGUAGUUGAAAAGUCGUAGAUCCACAAAAUAUGUGAUUAAAAUUAAUAGUUGACUUUAACUUAAAUUAAAAUCUGAAUUUUAAUUUUUACUAAACAAGGGCUAUAUCUCUAUAUUUUCUGUAAUAUGAAAAUAAAAA